GCUCCCACCUUUUUCUUUCAGCAUUUGAGUAUUUGUCACUCAAGACUGAGCAGCAUUGACUUCUUGUGUUUUUAUUUCUCCUCAGGAGCCAGAGCAAUUCCAAGAGACAUGGUGGGGUUUCUGGAAUUUCUCGUCGCUUGCCUCUUGCCACCUGUGCUGUGGGCCAUUCACCUGGAGCAGGUACCAAUCUCCAUCACAAAGGAGCCGCGUGUGAGCAGCAGUGCUGAAUUCACCUGCAAGGUGUCUGGCGGGUCGGGCUCUACCUAUAUCUACUGGUACCGAGCCCCAACUGGAGGGGCACCACAAAGGCUGCUCUACCUUUCUUACUCCAAGCCUCAAAGCUGGGACGCCGGCUUCUCCAGUGAAAAAGUCACCGCCUAUUUUCAAGGCCGUAGCAUCUGCAAACUAUUGUUGCACAAGCUGGAAAAGGCAGACAGCGGCCACUAUUACUGUGCCGCAUGGGAUUAUACACAUUGGGCUGUUGCAGCCUUGGCUAACACUGCUGGCUCUUUGCGCUCAUGCUUUCAAUCCCUGCUUCCAAUAACCCACUCAGUGACAUGGCAUUACAUUAACACAGACAAGGCCUUAGAACCAGUUUUGCCCCAGUUUCACACUCAGCAGUGGUGGGUGCACUAG